CCUUCGGGGUGAGUGGCAGACGGGUGAGUAACGCGUGGGAACGUGCCCUUCAGUUCGGGAUAACCCAGGGAAACUUGGGCUAAUACCGGAUACGUGCGAGAGCAGAAAGAUUUAUCGCUGAAGGAUCGGCCCGCGUCUGAUUAGCUAGUUGGUAGGGUAAUGGCCUACCAAGGCGACGAUCAGUAGCUGGUCUGAGAGGAUGAUCAGCCACAUUGGGACUGAGACACGGCCCAAACUCCUACGGGAGGCAGCAGUGGGGAAUAUUGGACAAUGGGCGCAAGCCUGAUCCAGCCAUGCCGCGUGAGUGAUGAAGGCCUUAGGGUUGUAAAGCUCUUUCGUCCGGGACGAUAAUGACGGUACCGGAAGAAGAAGCCCCGGCUAACUUCGUGCCAGCAGCCGCGGUAAUACGAAGGGGGCUAGCGUUGUUCGGAAUCACUGGGCGUAAAGGGCGCGUAGGCGGCUUUAUAAGUCGGGGGUGAAAGCCUGUGGCUCAACCACAGAAUUGCCUUCGAUACUGUAUGGCUUGAGACCGGAAGAGGUAAGUGGAACUGCGAGUGUAGAGGUGAAAUUCGUAGAUAUUCGCAAGAACACCAGUGGCGAAGGCGGCUUACUGGGUCCGGUUCUGACGCUGAGGCGCCGAAAGCGUGGGGAGCAAACAGGAUUAGAUACCCCUGGUAGUCCACGCCGUAAACGAUGAAUGGCCAGCCGUUGGGCAGCUUGGCUGCUCAGUGGCGCAGCUAACGCUUUAAGCAUUCCGCCUGGGGGAGUACGGUCGCA
rnacentral:rRNA from 1 species